rnacentral:rRNA from 1 species
AUUGAACGCUGGCGGCAUGUCUUACACAUGCAAGUCGAACGGUAACGGGCCUUCGGGUGCCGACGAGUGGCGAACGGGUGAGUAAUGCAUCGGAACGUACCUUUCAGUGGGGGAUAACGUAGCGAAAGUUACGCUAAUACCGCAUAUUCUGUGAGCAGGAAAGCAGGGGAUCGCAAGACCUUGCGCUGAUUGAGCGGCCGAUGUCAGAUUAGCUAGUUGGUGAGGUAAAGGCUCACCAAGGCGACGAUCUGUAGCGGGUCUGAGAGGAUGAUCCGCCACACUGGAACUGAGACACGGUCCAGGCUCCUACGGGAGGCAGCAGUGGGGAAUUUUGGACAAUGGGGGCAACCCUGAUCCAGCCAUGCCGCGUGAGUGAAGAAGGCCUUCGGGUUGUAAAGCUCUUUCGGCCGGGAAGAAAUCGUAUGGGCUAAUACCCUGUGCGGAUGACGGUACCGGCAUAAGAAGCACCGGCUAACUACGUGCCAGCAGCCGCGGUAAAAC